GCAAGUCGAACGCUCACCUUCGGGUGGGAGUGGCAGACGGGUGAGUAACACGUGGGAACGUACCCUUUGGUUCGGGACAACUCUGGGAAACUGGAGCUAAUACCGGAUACGCCCUUUUGGGGAAAGGUUUACUGCCGAAGGAUCGGCCCGCGUCUGAUUAGCUAGUUGGUGGGGUAACGGCCUACCAAGGCGACGAUCAGUAGCUGGUCUGAGAGGAUGAUCAGCCACACUGGGACUGAGACACGGCCCAGACUCCUACGGGAGGCAGCAGUGGGGAAUAUUGGACAAUGGGCGCAAGCCUGAUCCAGCCAUGCCGCGUGAGUGAUGAAGGCCUUAGGGUUGUAAAGCUCUUUUAUCCGGGACGAUAAUGACGGUACCGGAGGAAUAAGCCCCGGCUAACUUCGUGCCAGCAGCCGCGGUAAUACGAAGGGGGCUAGCGUUGCUCGGAAUCACUGGGCGUAAAGGGCGCGUAGGCGGCGUUUUAAGUCGGGGGUGAAAGCCUGUGGCUCAACCACAGAAUGGCCUUCGAUACUGGGACGCUUGAGUCUGGUAGAGGUUGGUGGAACUGCGAGUGUAG
rnacentral:rRNA from 1 species